AUUGAACGCUGGCGGCAGGCUUAACACAUGCAAGUCGAGCGGGGUGAUGGUGCUUGCACUAUCACUUAGCGGCGGACGGGUGAGUAAUGCUUAGGAAUCUGCCUAUUAGUGGGGGACAACAUCUCGAAAGGGAUGCUAAUACCGCAUACGUCCUACGGGAGAAAGCAGGGGAUCACUUGUGACCUUGCGCUAAUAGAUGAGCCUCGGUCGGAUUAGCUAGUUGGUGGGGUAAAGGCCUACCAAGGCGACGAUCUGUAGCGGGUCUGAGAGGAUGAUCCGCCACACGGGGACUGGGACACGGCCCAGACUCCUACGGGAGGCAGCAGUGGGGAAUAUUGGACAAUGGGGGGAGCCCUGAUCCAGCCAUGCCGCGUGUGUGAAGAAGGCCUUAUGGUUGUAAAGCACUUUAAGCGAGGAGGAGGCUCUUUUGGUUAAUACCCAAGAUGAGUGGACGUUACUCGCAGAAUAAGCACCGGCUAACUCUGUGCCAGCAGCCGCCGUAA
rnacentral:rRNA from 1 species